rnacentral:rRNA from 1 species
UAGGGAAUCUUCCGCAAUGGACGAAAGUCUGACGGAGCAAUGCCGCGUGAGUGAAGAAGGUUUUCGGAUCGUAAAACUCUGUUGUUAGAGAAGAACAAGGAUGAGAGUAACUGCUCAUCCCCUGACGGUAUCUAACCAGAAAGCCACGGCUAACUACGUGCCAGCAGCCGCGGUAAUACGUAGGUGGCAAGCGUUGUCCGGAUUUAUUGGGCGUAAAGCGAGCGCAGGCGGUUCUUUAAGUCUGAUGGG